CCUACGGGAGGCAGCAGUCUAGAAAUUUGCACAAUCGCCGAAAGGCGGAUGCAGCGACACCACGUGGAGGAUGACACCCCUCGGGGUGUAAACUCCUGUCAGAAGGGAAGAAGGCGCGGGCGUUAAUACCGCUCGUUGCUUGACGGUACCUUCAGAGGAAGCUCCGGCUAACUACGUGCCAGCAGCCGCGGUAAUACGUAGGGAGCGAGCGUUGUUCGGAUUUACUGGGCGUAAAGGGCACGUAGGCGGGUAUGCAAGUCGAUUGUGAAAUCCUCUGGCUCAACCAGAGAACUGCAGCCGAAACUGCACACCUUGAGUCCAGCAGAGGGAAUCGGAAUCCCAGGUGUAGCGGUGAAAUGCGUAGAUAUCUGGGAGAACAUCAGUGGCGAAGGCGGAUUCCUGGGCUGGUACUGACGCUGAGGUGCGAAAGCUAAGGGAGCGAACAGGAUUAGAUACCCUGGUAGUCUUAGCCGUAAACGAUGGGUACUAGGUGUUGGGGGACAUUGACCCCCUCAGUGCCGUAGCUAACGCAUUAAGUACCCCGCCUGGGGAGUACGGCCGCAAGGCUGAAACUCAAAGGAAUUGACGG
rnacentral:rRNA from 1 species